rnacentral:rRNA from 1 species
ACGAACGCUGGCGGCGUGCUUAACACAUGCAAGUCGAACGGAAAGGCCCUGCUUUUGUGGGGUGCUCGAGUGGCGAACGGGUGAGUAACACGUGAGUAACCUGCCCUUGACUUUGGGAUAACUUCAGGAAACUGGGGCUAAUACCGGAUAGGAGCUCCUGCUGCAUGGUGGGGGUUGGAAAGUUUCGGCGGUUGGGGAUGGACUCGCGGCUUAUCAGCUUGUUGGUGGGGUAGUGGCUUACCAAGGCUUUGACGGGUAGCCGGCCUGAGAGGGUGACCGGCCGCAUUGGGACUGAGAUACGGCCCAGACUCCUACGGGAGGCAGCAGUGGGGAAUAUUGCACAGUGGGCGGAAGCCUGAUGCAGCAACGCCGCGUGCGGGAUGACGGCCUUCGGGUUGUAAACCGCUUUCGCCUGUGACGAAGCGUGAGUGACGGUAAUGGGUAAAGAAGCACCGGCUAACUACGUG